AACGCACCUUGCGCCCUUUGGCUAUUCCGAAGGGCAUGCCUGUUUGAGUAUCAUGAACACCUCAACUCUCAUGGUCUGCCAUGAUGAGCUUGGACUUUGGGGGUCUUGCCGGCGUAACCGUCGGCUCCUCUCAAAUGAAUCAGCUUGCCAGUGUUUGGUGGCGUCACAGGUGUGAUAACUAUCUACGCUUGUGAUCUUCCAUCAGGUUACCUUCAGUAAUGGGGGUUCGCUGGAGCUCACAGAUGUGUCUCUCCUCAGGGAGGACAGCUUUUUAAUGUUUGAUCUCAAAUCAGGUAGGACUACCCGCUGAACUUAA
rnacentral:misc_RNA from 1 species